rnacentral:lncRNA from 1 species
ACGUAAGCUAAAUUGAUAUUCUAAUUAAACGACACUUAAAUAUGUGUUUUUUUAAUUAGUACAAAUUUAAGAUUACAACUUUUUAAAUGAUUUUUAAUUAAUAUAUAGGAGAUAUUAAAUAUUAAAUAUUAAACCGUAAGAAUAUUUUAAGAAUGUCAGGCGUAACAUUUUUUCUGUCAUCUGGUGUUAUUACUACUAUAUGAGGUAAAAGGUUACAAUAUUUGGAAUACUAAAAUGGCUACUAAAACCGUUAUCGAAACCGGUUAAGUACCACUGUCUACAGCUCAAAUAGAGAGACUAUGCCCUAGAGAAAGGAAACCC